rnacentral:rRNA from 1 species
UGGAUGAGCCCGCGGCCUAUCAGCUUGUUGGUGAGGUAAUGGCUCACCAAGGCGACGACGGGUAGCCGGCCUGAGAGGGCGACCGGCCACACUGGGACUGAGACACGGCCCAGACUCCUACGGGAGGCAGCAGUGGGGAAUAUUGCACAAUGGGCGAAAGCCUGAUGCAGCGACGCCGCGUGAGGGAUGACGGCCUUCGGGUUGUAAACCUCUUUCAGCAGGGAAGAAGCGAAAGUGACGGUACCUGCAGAAGAAGCGCCGGCUAACUACGUGCCAGCAGCCGCGGUAAUACGUAGGGCGCAAGCGUUGUCCGGAAUUAUUGGGCGUAAAGAGCUCGUAGGCGGUCUGUCGCGUCGGAUGUGAAAGCCCGGGGCUUAACCCCGGGUCUGCAUUCGAUACGGGCAGACUAGAGUGUGGUAGGGGAGAUCGGAAUUCCUGGUGUAGCGGUGAAAUGCGCAGAUAUCAGGAGGAACACCGGUGGCGAAGGCGGAUCUCUGGGCCAUUACUGACGCUGAGGAGCGAAAGCGUGGGGAGCGAACAGGAUUAGAUACCCUGGUAGUCCACGCCGUAAACGGUGGGAACUAGGUGUUGGCGACAUUCCACGUCGUCGGUGCCGCAGCUAACGCAUUAAGUUCCCCGCCUGGGGAGUACGGCCGCAAGGCUAAAACUCAAAGGAAUUGACGGGGGCCCGCACAAGCAGCGGAGCAUGUGGCUUAAUUCGACGCAACGCGAAGAACCUUACCAAGGCUUGACAUACACCGGAAAGCAUCAGAGAUGGUGCCCCCCUUGUGGUCGGUGUACAGGUGGUGCAUGGCUGUCGUCAGCUCGUGUCGCGAGAUGUUGGUUAAGUCCCGCAACGAGCGCAACCCUUGUUCUGUGUUGCCAGCAUGCCCUUCGGGGUGAUGGGGACUCACAGGAGACUGCCGGGGUCAACUCGGAGGAAGGUGGGGACGACGUCAAGUCAUCAUGCCCCUUAUGUCUUGGGCUGCACACGUGCUACAAUGGCCGGUACAAAGAGCUGCGAAACCGUGAGGUGGAGCGAAUCUCAAAAAGCCGGUCUCAGUUCGGAUUGGGGUCUGCAACUCGACCCCAUGAAGUCGGAGUUGCUAGUAAUCGCAGAUCAGCAUUGCUGCGGUGAAUACGUUCCCGGGCCUUGUACACACCGCCCGUCACGUCACGAAAGUCGGUAACACCCGAAGCCGGUGGCCCAACCCCUUGUGGGAGGGAGCUGUCGAAGGUGGGGCUGGAA